rnacentral:rRNA from 1 species
AGUGAACGCUGGCGGUAGGCCUAACACAUGCAAGUCGAACGGCAGCACAGGAGAGCUUGCUCUCUGGGUAGCGAGUGGCGGACGGGUGAGGAAUACAUCGGAAUCUACUCUGUCGUGGGGGAUAGCGUAGGGAAACUUACGCUAAUACCGCAUACGACCUACGGGUGAAAGCAGGGGACCUUCGGGCCUUGCGCGAUUGAAUGAGCCGAUGUCGGAUUAGCUAGUUGGCGGGGUAAAGGCCCACCAAGGCGACGAUCCGUAGCUGGUCUGAGAGGAUGAUCAGCCACACUGGAACUGAGACACGGUCCAGACUCCUACGGGAGGCAGCAGUGGGGAAUAUUGGACAAUGGGCGCAAGCCUGAUCCAGCCAUACCGCGUGGGUGAAGAAGGCCUUCGGGUUGUAAAGCCCUUUUGUUGGGAAAGAAAUCCAGCUGGCUAAUACCCGGUUGGGAUGACGGUACCCAAAGAAUAAGCACCGGCUAACUUCGUGCCAGCAGCCGCCGUAA